GACGAACGCUGGCGGCGUGCUUAACACAUGCAAGUCGAACGGAAAGGCCCUUCGGGGUACUCGAGUGGCGAACGGGUGAGUAACACGUGGGUGAUCUGCCCUGCACUUUGGGAUAAGCCUGGGAAACUGGGUCUAAUACCGAAUAGGACCACGCGCUUCAUGGUGUGUGGUGGAAAGCUUUUGCGGUGUGGGAUGGGCCCGCGGUCUAUCAGCUUGUUGGUGGGGUAAUGGCCUACCAAGGCGACGACGGGUAGCCGGCCUGAGAGGGUGACCGGCCACACUGGGACUGAGAUACGGCCCAGACUCCUACGGGAGGCAGCAGUGGGGAAUAUUGCACAAUGGGCGCAAGCCUGAUGCAGCGACGCCGCGUGAGGGAUGACGGCCUUCGGGUUGUAAACCUCUUUCAAUAGGGACGAAGCGCAAGUGACGGUACCUAUAGAAGAAGCACCGGCCAACUACGUG
rnacentral:rRNA from 1 species